rnacentral:tRNA from 1 species
AAAUAAGUAAGCUAACAUUCAAGCUUUUAGGCUCAUACCCUAACUAUAGAAACUUUCUCUUAUUUA